rnacentral:rRNA from 1 species
AAUUUGAAUAUCUGGUCCUCAGGCGCGCGCAGUUGUAAUAUGUAGAGGAUGCUUUUCGACAAAGGUGCCUUCCGAGUUCCCCUGGAGGCGGGACGCCAUAGAGGGUGAGAGCCCCGUCUGGUCGGAUACCGCGCCUCUGUAAAGCUCCUUCGACGAGUCGAGUAGUUUGGGAAUGCUGCUCAAAAUGGGAGGUAUAUGUCUUCUAAAGCUAAAUAUUGGCCAGAGACCGAUAGCGCACAAGUAGAGUGAUCGAAAGAUGAAAAGCACUUUGAAAAGAGGGUUAAAAAGUACGUGAAAUUGUUGAAAGGGAAGCGCCUAUGACCAGACUUGGGCCCGGUGAAUCAUCCAGCGUUCUCGCUGGUGCACUUUGCCGGGCACAGGCCAGCAUCAGUUUGGCGCGGGGGAUAAAGGCUUUGGGAAUGUGGCUCCCUCGGGAGUGUUAUAGCCCAUUGUGUAAUACCCUGCGCCGGACUGAGGUACGCGCAUUUGCAAGGAUGCUGGCGUAAUGGUCAUCAGCGACCCGUCUUGAAACACGGACCAAGGAGUCGUCUUCGUAUGCGAGUGUUCGGGUGUCAAACCCCUACGCGUAAUGAAAGUGAACGCAGGUGAGAGCUUCGGCGCAUCAUCGACCGAUCCUGAUGUUCUCGGAUGGAUUUGAGUAAGAGCAUACGGGGCCGGACCCGAAAGAAGGUGAACUAUGCCUGUAUAGGGUGAAGCCAGAGGAAACUCUGGUGGAGGCUCGCAGCGGUUCUGACGUGCGAAUCGAUCGUCAAAUAUGGCAUGGGGCGAAAGACUAAUC